rnacentral:rRNA from 1 species
UACAGAGGGUGCAAACGUUGCUCGGAAUUAUUGGGCGUAAAGCGCACGUAGGCGGUUUGUUAAGUUGGAUGUGAAAACCCUGGGCUCAACCCUGGAAGUGCAUCCAAGACUGACAAGCUAGAGUAUCGGAGGGGGUCGGAGAAUUCCCGGUGUAGAGGUGAAAUUCGUAGAUAUCGGGAGGAACAUCUGUGGCGAAGGCGCCGACCUGGACGAAAACUGACGCUGAGGUGCGAAAGCAUGGGGAGCAAACAGGAUUAGAUACCCUGGUAGUCCAUGCCGUAAACGAUGAGUGCUGGACGGUGGGAGAUUAUGACCCUCUCGUCGUCGAAGCUAACGCGUUAAGCACUCCGCCUGGGAAGUACGGUCGCAAGACUAAA